CCUACGGGUGGCUGCAGUCGAGGAUCUUCGUCAAUGGGCGCAAGCCUGAACGAGCGACGCCGCGUGUGCGAUGAAGGCCUUCGGGUUGUAAAGCACUGUCGAGGGGGAUCAAGGCGCAAGCUUGAGUGAUCCCUGGAGGAAGCACGGGCUAAGUUCGUGCCAGCAGCCGCGGUAAGACGAACCGUGCGAACGUUGUUCGGAAUCACUGGGCUUAAAGGGCGCGUAGGCGGCUCGCGAGGUCGGGGGUGAAAUCCCGCAGCUUAACUGCGGAAGGGCCUCCGAUACCGGCGGGCUGGAGGAAGGUAGGGGUGCGCGGAACUUCUGGUGGAGCGGUGAAAUGCGUUGAUAUCAGAAGGAACGCCGGCGGCGAAAGCGGCGCACUGGACCUUUUCUGACGCUGAGGCGCGAAAGCCAGGGGAGCAAACGGGAUUAGAUACCCCAGUAGUC
rnacentral:rRNA from 1 species